rnacentral:rRNA from 1 species
GUGUCAGCCGCCGCGGUAAUACGUAGGUGGCAAGCGUUGUCCGGAUUUAUUGGGUUUAAAGGGUGCGUAGGCGGUCUAUUAAGUCAGUGGUGAAAUAUGGCAGCUCAACUGUCAAGGUGCCAUUGAUACUGAUGGACUUGAGUGAAGUCGAAGUAGGCGGAAUUGACGGUGUAGCGGUGAAAUGCUUAGAUAUCGUCAAGAACACCGAUAGUGAAGACAGCUUACUAGGCUUAUACUGACGCUGAGGCACGAAAGUGUGGGGAUCAAACAGGAUUAGAUACCCUGGUAGUCC